GACGAACGCUGGCGGCGUGCUUAACACAUGCAAGUCGAACGGAAAGGCCCUGCUUUUGUGGGGUGCUCGAGUGGCGAACGGGUGAGUAACACGUGUGUAACCUGCCCUUGACUUUGGGAUAACUUCAGGAAACUGGGGCUAAUACCGGAUAGGAGCUCCUGCUGCAUGGUGGGGGUUGGAAAGUUUCGGCGGUUGGGGAUGGACUCGCGGCUUAUCAGCUUGUUGGUGGGGUAGUGGCUUACCAAGGCUUUGACGGGUAGCCGGCCUGGGAGGGUGACCGGCGACAAGGGGACUGAGGUAGGGACCAGACUCCAACGGGAGGCAACAGGGGGGAAUAUUGCAGAAUGGGCGGAAGCCUGAGGCAGAAACGCCGGGUGCGGGAUGACGGCCUUCGGGUUGUAAACCGAUUUCGCCUGAGACGAAGCGGGAGUGACGGUAAUGGGUAAAGAAGCACCGGCUAACUACGUG
rnacentral:rRNA from 1 species